rnacentral:rRNA from 1 species
AACGAACGCUGGCGGCAUGCCUAACACAUGCAAGUCGAACGAGACCUUCGGGUCUAGUGGCGCACGGGUGCGUAACGCGUUGGAACCUGCCCUUAGGUUCGGAAUAACUCCCCGAAAGGGGUGCUAAUACCGGCUAAUGUCUUCGGACCAAAGAUUUAUCGCCUUUGGAUGGGCCCGCGUUGGAUUAGCUAGUUGGUAGGGUAAAAGCCUACCAAGGCGACGAUCCAUAGCUGGUCUGAGAGGAUGAUCAGCCACACUGGGACUGAGACACGGCCCAGACUCCUACGGGAGGCAGCAGUGGGGAAUAUUGGACAAUGGGCGAAAGCCUGAUCCAGCAAUGCCGCGUGAGUGAUGAAGGCCUUAGGGUUGUAAAGCUCUUUUACCCGGGAUGAUAAUGACAGUACCGGGAGAAUAAGCUCCGGCUAACUCCGUG